AGUUAGUGGCGAACGGGUGAGUAAUAUAUCGGAACGUACCCUAGAGUGGGGGAUAACCAGUCGAAAGAUUGGCUAAUACCGCAUACGAUCUACGGAUGAAAGUGGGGGACCGCAAGGCCUCAUGCUCAUGGAGCGGCCGAUAUCUGAUUAGCUAGUUGGUGGGGUAAAGGCCCACCAAGGCGACGAUCAGUAGCUGGUCUGAGAGGACGAUCAGCCACACUGGGACUGAGACACGGCCCAGACUCCUACGGGAGGCAGCAGUGGGGAAUUUUGGACAAUGGGGGAAACCCUGAUCCAGCAAUGCCGCGUGAGUGAAGAAGGCCUUCGGGUUGUAAAGCUCUUUUGUCAGGGAAGAAAAGGCUCUGGUUAAUACCUGGGGUUCAUGACGGUACCUGAAGAAUAAGCACCGGCUAACUACGUGCCAGCAGCCGCGGUAAUACGUAGGGUGCGAGCGUUAAUCGGAAUUACUGGGCGUAAAGGGUGCGCAGGCGGUUGUGCAAGACAGAUGUGAAAUCCCCGGGCUUAACCUGGGAAUGGCAUUUGUGACUGCACGGCUAGAGUGUGUCAGAGGGGGGUAGAAUUCCACGUGUAGCAGUGAAAUGCGUAGAUAUGUGGAGGAAUACCGAUGGCGAAGGCAGCCCCCUGUGAUAACACUGACGCUCAUGCACGAAAGCGUGUGGAGCAAACAGGAUUAGAUACCCUGGUAGUCCACGCCCUAAACGAUGUCAACUAGUUGUCGGGUCUUAAUUGACUUG
rnacentral:rRNA from 1 species